rfam:Dichomitus squalens LYAD-421 SS1 unplaced genomic scaffold DICSQscaffold_1, whole genome shotgun sequence.
GCCCGCCUAGCUCAAUCGGAUAGAGCGUCAGACUCUUACUAGCGGGUGACCUGGCACGUGAUCUGAAGGCUGCGAGUUCGACCCUCGCGGUGGGCU